GCUGGGCAUGGUGGCGCAUGCCUGUAAUCCCAGCUACUUGGGAGGCUGAGGCAGGAGAAUUGUUUGAACCUGGGAGGUGGAGGUAGCAGUGAGCCAAGAUUGCACCACUGCACCCCAGCCUGGGUAACAGAGCAAGACUCUGUCUCAA
rnacentral:SRP_RNA from 1 species